rnacentral:lncRNA from 1 species
CUCGGCAUGAAGUGGUUAAGCUUGAUGAAGGCACCUAUAUUCAAUGGUGCAAACAGAUCAAAUUAAUAGUGGAUGGAUAUGGAUUUACAGGAUUCUUAGAUGGCACCGUUGUUCCACCGUCGCGGUUUAUGCCUCUGCCCGAUGGUUCGCGUGCUCCAAAUCCGGCAGCACAGGUGUUCCUACAGCAAGAUAGGUUUCUGACUUCAUGGCUGUUAUCAACUGUAAGUACAUCUCUUCAAUCGUCAUUUGAUGAUGCAUCCACGGCGUGUGAUAUGUGGAACAUGGCGAUAAAUUUGUUUGCGGCUGACACUGGUGCAAAGCAGUCACGCAUUCGGCAUGAGCUUCAUUCUUUGAAGAAAGGUAACCUUUCCAUUAAAGCUUAUGUUGCUAAAAUUAAAGAUCUGUGUGCUAUGUUAGAUGCCUCUGGUUCUCGUCUCUCUGAUGAAGAGAAGAUUAAGGUGAUGCUCGCGGGAUUACCGUUAGAGUUUGAGGCGGUUAUCUCCUCCGCUAGGCUGUCGACGGGUGUUCUGUCGUUACAAUGUGUGGUCGAUGCUCUAGUUGAUUGUGAGAGCCGUCAAGCUCAGGUGUUGCAGGAGGUAAGUUUGAAUGCAAAUCUGGUUGAAGAUGCGCCGUCGGUUGAAGGAGGAAAUCGUGGCGGCCGUACGUCUGUUCGUGGCCGUGGCAGGACCUUCCGAUCUCGCAUUCAAUGCCAGAUCUGUAGUCGUUUUGGUCAUGUAGCUCAGAAGUGCUACUAUCGUUAUCAUAGAGAGUCGAAUAAUUAAGGGGAUCCGUCGGGUGUUGAGAGAGCCGCAUUUGGACCAUGUGCGCAAGAAGAA